CGACCCACCCGGUUUUCCCCCCGCGACGGUUCCAGCCCCACCUCCCCCGACCCCGCAGUCGUCGCCCAGUUCGGUUCUCCCGUCGCCGUUGCUCCGCGAGGUCGCCCCCUCCCGUCGUCGUCGCCCCUCCCGUCGCCGUCGCCCAGGAAGCGGCGGACCUGACGCAGCGGAACUCCUCCACUGCCUUCCGCUCCGCAGGAAGCGGCGGAGCGUGACAUCCAGCUCCCGCUCCCGAUCCAUCUCCGGUUGAUCGCGUUGGACCUGCUGCAGCAAGUCACCGAUCCUCUUCACCUUCUGCGCCAACCGCUUCCUGCAGUUAUGGUUGGAUUAGAUUGUCUCCACCGAUCGUCUCCACUUUUUUCGAUUGAAUACUACUUCAAGUGAGGCAGUUAAGAUUGGGUUAGUUUGUCGAUCACAUUGCUAUGCUAACUGAAGCAGCCUUCUCUAGAACGGGAAAGGCAGAUUUCUCGGAUGAGUCGUCACUCUUCACUGAUGUCCUCCAGCGAGUCAGUCUGAGGACAAGGAGCUGUUGUGCCAGUUCGUGUUGGCUUCUAGCAUGAUAUCCCACGACGUCUGAGCGACAGUCAUGAGGGUUAUUGUUGGUGCUAUCCUCGGUCAUCAAUGUCCAUCAGCUGGGCGCAGGGUAGGUGACAGGGAGCAUAUUUCUGCUGCUUCUCGCUGCCUCCUUGGGAAGCUCAGCUGUAAGCAUGAGAGGUGUUUAACUGCUUUGGUCCUUCGAAUGACUGGGUUAGCAAGCCGGUGGCACUUACUUUGAAUUUAACCUCGCACUCCCUCACUUUGCGGACAUGAAUGGACUCUCCUGCAAAUUAAUGGAUGCGAUUGCGGCUUCCAAUCUCCGCGACGAUGGCUUCCUCCUCACCUUGAGCAGUGGAAUGCUUUGGAGACCCGCCGCCCCUGCUGUGCUUGCAGCUCAGAUCUGUCCAUCGUCCUGCCAGAUCAGACCAGCGUGGAGCAGCUCAGGAGAGAGAUUCAGAUUUUUGGAUUAAUGGCUUCUGAAUCCCCCGCAUGGUGUAAGUGUGUAUUGCACCUAACACAACAUCGAUUUGCAGGAUUGGUUCUCAACCGAGCAGGGUGGGUGUUCCAGAGCAGGCAAGAGAGCUGGAGAGAUUCAAUUGACUACUAUUGGACGGACACCAGCCCUGAACCACGCCACCAGCCCAUAAUUGACAAGCUGCCCAUCAUGGAUGCUGCAUUCCAGAAGGUCAGCAAUAAUAAAUUCCCUCAGUUUGACAAAUGGAGCACGCCGAUCAUUCACGUGCCAAAGCAAGCUGGCCCUAGCGAUUGCAUGUUUUUUCUUUGGAAAUACAUGGAAUUUUGGGAUGGUGGGUGUCCAAACAUUGAUAUCAACCCGAGUUGAGCUCAUGCACUUUUUGGUGUUCCACCCUCUGAACCAAGCUGACCUACCCGAUGAAUUGGACAUCUACAGGCUUGGUGGAAGAAAUAUCGACCGGAAUGGAUCCAAAUGAGGGGCUUGAAAGUGAUCUAUUUUGACAGCUGCAAUGUGUUGUAGCCAUUGACAGUCUAAAAACCUUUGGUGUCUGUAAUGAGGGAGUGUUUGUGUAUCACAACUUGGUGUCCAUAUUUUAUCUUCACAGUCAGCCGUAGCAACUGAUGUACCCCCAUACUUGCAAUUGGGGAGCACACAAAGUUACAAUCCGCUUGAUGUAUAUAUUCUUUUGGUUGCUAUAUAUAGUUUGCAUCUUACGUC